rnacentral:rRNA from 1 species
GACGAACGCUGGCGGCGUGCCUAAUACAUGCAAGUAGGACGCAGUUGCGAACGGGUGAGUAACGCGUAGGUAACUGCCUAUUAGAGGGGGAUAACUAUUGGAAACGAUAGCUAAUACCGCAUACUAGUAGAAGGACCUGCGUUGUAUUAGCUAGUAGGUAGGGUAAUGGCCUACCUAGGCGACGAUACAUAGCCGACCUGCGAGGGAGAUCGGCCACCCUGGGACUGAGGCACGGGCCAGACUCCUACGGGGGGCAGCAGUAGGGAAUCUUCGGCAAUGGGGGGAACCCUGGCCGAGCAACGCCGCGGGAGUGAAGAAGGGUUUCGGAUCGUAAAGGUCUGUUGUUAAGGAAGCGGUACUUAACCAGAAAGGGACGGCUAACUACGUGCCAGCAGCCGCGGUAAUUC